UUGCACCCGAUAAGAGACUGACAUUUACUGCCCACACAACAGCCUGCUAGACCUGUUUAUAUGUUAAUUGUUUCUAGAGCUACUUUUUAAAAACACCAUAUUUGUAGGAGCAGAGAUACAGCUCACUGAGAUGGCCAUCCUCUCCUUCUACAGAAGUCGAUUUAAAGUUAAUCACUGAAAGAUUUGACUCAGUACUGAUUUGGAUGAAUCUUAAAUUGGAGGAAUUAAAGGAAAAUUUCCCAUAAGCUUUUGAGGCAUUAAUAGUGUCUUCAUAUGCCUUUAUGCCUGUAACACUAUACUAUGGUAGAACACAUAGGUCAAACACAAAAUAAUGACAUGUCCAAUAUAUUAGUGUCAAUAAACUAGGUCUGUCCAAAGUGACUAAAUGAUAUCCACCCUUUGAAAUAUACUUUUAACUUAUCUAUUUAUAUUAACAUGGCAUGUAGGAGUCCUGUUCAUUGGCCUGGACCCUGCUGUGGUAGGUUAUGUACCAACACAAAGUAAGUCUGUGCCACAAAGUAUAACACCAGAGACAACCAAUGGCUAAGAUGAAUGGGGGAGUACAAGGAAACAAGUAUUAGACUAAGCACUCCGCACACCAAUAGCCUACCCAUUGUCCAGAUUUGGUAGACAGGACAGCAAAGGAGAAUAACCACUUGAGGAAACUGCAGAGGUUAACAAGAUGCUUCUCUGAAGCCUAAAGGGUGGCAUAGCAGAAAGCAGGGAAAGAAGCUGACAACAUUAGCAUAUCAGAGGCAGAAGUCAAUGUCUCAGUGAAGACAUUGCACAAAAAGCAGACACUCAUUAAUUAUGCAAAAGAGGCAUGGCAAUAUUCCAUGCUUCACCUCAUUUGCAUAUUUCUUGCACAAAACAGUACAAUAUAGACAUAGCCUUAUAUAUCUCUUUACCACAGUGGGCAAACUGGUCUUUUAUGUGACUACUAAAAAAUUGCUUAUGUUGUGAUGUGAGGUUCAUACAUUCAGUGCAUACAGACUGAUACAGUUAAAGGGUGAACAUGGAAGCCCAGAGAAGAAUUUUGAACUACCUGAACAGGAUAGCUCAGUGCAUAAUUUAGAAUAUUGCCCCUCAGUCUCCAAGAAAGUUCAAUGGAAAUUAUGGAUCUGUUCCUUCCCCCACUUCCAUAAAAGGCACAGGAUUGGGCCCUGUGAAGACUAGCAUCCAGGGCUCUAAUUAGCAAGACUAUUAGAGCGGGUUCAUUUUGAGAAUGCUUCUGGGCAAGGAUUGUUUCUGCAGGGGUAAUCAAUAAGUACGAUUUUUGGUUUCCUUAAAUACUUUUUUCUUUUGAAAGAGAAAAGGUGGGUGAGACCAUAUCUUUUAUUGGAACAACUUCUGUUGGUGAGACACAAGCCUGAAUUCAUACAAGGCUCUUCUUUUGUUUCUAAGAAAGUUAUGCUAUAGAGUGGAAUAUUGAGAUUACAGCACAUAUAGAAAACACAAUGGACUUCAGUACAUAGUUGUGUAUGUUUUGCUUGAAAGGCUGAGUGCUUUACUUGAAAGAUACAAUCAAGCAGUCAAAAAUACAUUAUCCAGGGCAGCUGGUUGCCAACAGCUUUGUUUCAUUGACAUUUUUAAACCAAGACAAGAGGAGAAUGGGGAAUUCACAAGAGACGCAUCCCUGUGAUUAAUUUAAUAGACCACCUGAUGUCAGUAUUCCCCAGUGUAAAUGGCAUCAAUAGAAAUCAGUCAACAAGAGAAUAAGGGCCACUUCCCCUAUCAAAACUGAUCAGCCCUUAAAACACAAGAGACCUGGGUGUUCUGGUAUAACUUUUAUGCACCUUGUAACCCAACGUAAUCCACAGCUGUGAGUUAAGCACCUAGGAAGUACUGAUGAGAGGGGUCUUUCAAACUGCCCCGCAACAGGACAUAGGCACCUAAGCCCUGGCAAAAGGAAGGCAGUUAUCCUUGUGUGGGAUUCAAAACUCCCCUCUCUCUCUCCCCAAAGCAAAGGCCACUAAUGUUCCACCAGAGCACUGGAAUCAUUAACAAGGAGAGUAAAAUUAUGAACCUGAGUUGCAGAGUUUUCUUGGCAGCUGCACAACUCCAGAAUAUAUCCCUAUCACCAACUUCAGGAAGUUUGACCUAUUAGAACAAAAAAGGACAUUUAACAGGGGAAGAAACAACAUAAGAAGUUUUGGAUAAAGCAAAAAAGAUGUAUGAUUCAGUGAAAAGCCAUUCCAUGCAUAGAUUUGUGCGUUGUAAUUGUUUCAUACCACUGUAAAGACUGAAAGAGGAAUUCUGGGAGCUAAGUAGACCACUUCAAAUCUGCAGAUAUUUGCAGGUAUCCACAGCUGCAGCUCAUUUUUGCAGAUAUGAAUGUGGAUACCAGAUGCUAAUGAUUCACCUGGAAGGAAGCCAGGGGGCAGGGCCAGGGAUAUAAAAGGUCUGCCUGAAAGACCAGUGAGCUCCCAGCUAGUCAGAAGCCUGCUCAGCUGAACCCCAUGAGGAACCAGACCCGGUGGAAGCUGAUUGGCCUGGGCCGUGGGGCCCACUGCUGGAGGACUAUCUAGAAGGUUUGCGUAUCUGGCCGGAGGACUUCAACCCUCGCUACACUGAGGACCUGCCCAGGAGCCAGGUAUAUCUUGGGGGGCAGCGGGAGAAGAAAUGGACCUUGGUCAGUGGGCUGCAGUAUGGACCCCUGCUGGCCCAGCAACAAGAGUUUAUUACAUUUCAAAUGGAGGCAUGGACCACAUUGGAAAGCAUAGAAAUCGUCUGCAGCCCCCAGAGGAUCCACAGGCCAAGGGUUGAAAAUCACUGCAACUGAAAAACAAAGAAGUGGAGGUUUGCCGCAAGCCAUGCUUCUUCCCAUCUUUGAGACUUAAUGUUCCGAGUUCUGCUCCUGUAAAGACUUCAGAGUUAUAUUUGCCAAGUGUGCUCCCAUGCUGUUCAACUCAAAUAAUGCAUUUGCAAUGCAGAGUUUAGGAACUGUACAGCACCUGAAGAGCCAUUGACACUAGAGCAGCAUUUUCAAGUCCAUGGUUUUUUAUUUUCAACCAGUUAAUCAAGACUAAAAUUGCUGCACUGCUACAAAGCCCCAGGUGGAAGCCAAUGCCACUUUUUCAGGCAGUAUUUCAAGCCCUUCUGUCACUCUAUGUCCUCUUGUCUACCGUAUCCACCCUGAUGCAGAGAUUCUAAGUUGGGAACAAGUACUUGAAAUAAAAUAUUGACAAGAUUAAGAUUUGGCAGAUGGUAGAACUGUGUAUAAGGGACAAAUUCCACACAGAUUGGUUACAUUAAAAAGUUCACCUGAACAUCUGAGGUCCUCGCUCACCUAAAACAGUGGCUAGAUAAAUGGUAUGGAGACCUAUGAAUGUGGAUGUUAGUGAGGUGAGGAGAGGACUCUAAGGCUAUGUCUACACUGGCAGCUUCUUGUGCAAAAACUCUUCCACAAGAGAGC